CCUUCUUCAAUGAAAUCAAUACAAAAAUUUUAUCCCUUUGGCUUGCUAGAUUGACAAGAUUUGAAUCCUUACUCUCCUAACUUAGUUCUAAGGAUAAAUCAAGAAAGAGAUGAUUCAACACCUCCUUCUCCUCUAAUGGAACGUUGUCGUAAUACGUAAAGUCUUGCUUGAGAAUGCUCCGGGUACUUGAUUGUGGAAGGAAGAAUAAAAAUUGCAAUAACAAAAUCCUAAUUCUAAUAGAAUACUAACAAUGCUCUAAUUAAACCAUACUAAUGCUAAGAAAGCUUAAUCAAAUUCAAAAAACCUCAAAGAAAUUUCAAACAAAUAAUAAGAAUUCUUAAAGAAAUAUUAAAAGGAUCACAAAUAUCACUCAAAUACAUCUCAAUUCAAUCUUAAUUUAAUUCUAGUUAAAAUCCUAUUGAACUUCAUUCAAACUUUAGGUCAAAACUAAUUAAAUCAUAAAUCCUAAUAAAAUCCUAAACCCUAAAUCAAACCCUAAAUAAACCUUAAACCAAACCCUAAUCAAAUCCUAAACCAAAUCCUAAAUCAAAUUCUAAAUCCUAAAUCAAAUCCUAACCAAAUCAUAAUCCAAAUUCUAAAUCCUAAACCAAAUCCUAAUCCAAAUCCUAAACCAAACCCUAACCAAAUCCUAAUCCAAAUCCUAAACUCUAAAUCAAACCCUAAUCCAAAUCCUAAACCCUAAAAUCAAAUCCUAACUAAAUCUUAAACCCUAAAUAAAAUCCUAACCAAAUCCUAAAUCCAAAACCAAAUCCUACAUCCAAAAUCAAACCCUAAA
rnacentral:lncRNA from 1 species